UUGCCCGAUGAUUAUAAAAAGACGCGAAAGAGGACUUGAAGCUGGAUCUUUUCCUUUUUUUCUCUUCUAUAUAUUCUUUAAUUCUUCUCUACUUCCCCCCCCCCCUUUCUCUGCUUCUUUUCUCUCUUUGGAUAUCCAGCGUCCUAUGAGCGAAGAUUAUGAGAUAUGAGGGCAA